CACGUAGGGGGCGAGCGUUUGUCCGGAUUUAUUGGGCGUAAAGAGCUCGUAGGCGGCUCAGUAAGUCAGGUGUGAAAAACUCCAGGCUCAACCUGGAGACGCCACCUGAUACUGCUGUGGCUAGAGUCCGGUAGGGGAGCAUGGAAUUCCUGGUGUAGCGGUGAAAUGCGCAGAUAUCAGGAGGAACACCAGUGGCGGAAGGCGGUGCUCUGGGCCGGAACUGACGCUGAGGAGCGAAAGCGUGGGGAGCAAACAGG
rnacentral:rRNA from 1 species